GACGAACGCUGGCGGCGUGCUUAACACAUGCAAGUCGAGGGGGCACCUUUCGGGGGUGUCACCGGCGAACGGGUGCGUAACACGUGAGCGACCUGCCCGUCUGCGGGGGAUAGCCGGCCCAACGGCCGGGUAAUACCGCAUACGCCACCUGGGGGGCAUCCUUCGGGUGGGAAACUUCUGGGGCGGACGGAGGGGCUCGCGGCCUAUCAGCUCGUUGGCGAGGUAACGGCUCACCAAGGCGAUGACGGGAGCUGGUCUGAGAGGAUGGCCAGCCACAUUGGGACUGAGAGACGGCCCAGACUCCUACGGGAGGCAGCAGUGGGGAAUCUUGCGCAAUGGCCGAAAGGCUGACGCAGCGACGCCGCGUGA
rnacentral:rRNA from 1 species